rnacentral:lncRNA from 1 species
GCUGAAUACGAGGGCGAGGAAACACUAAUCAACCCCAAACAAGCCUAAUAUGGGCGGGUUACGCACAUACUGUCGGCACACUCACACAACACAAACUCAAUCUAGAACCAAACAUAAUGAUAAAGUUCCAGAUCCUAACUAGACACUCGACUCAACAAGACUAACCAAUAGUACCAGUAGUCCAGCCUAUAUGGCCUAACUACUAAACAAUUAAACAACAAUAUCAAUACUAAACAACUCAAUCAAAC